rnacentral:rRNA from 1 species
GUGGGGAAUAUUGGACAAUGGGCGCAAGCCUGAUCCAGCAAUGCCGCGUGCAGGAAGAAGGCCUUCGGGUUGUAAACUGCUUUUGUACGGAACGAAACGGUCCUGGCUAAUACCUGGGGCUAAUGACGAUACCGUAAGAAUAAGCACCGGCUAACUACGUGCCAGCAGCCGCGGUAAUACGUAGGGUGCAAGCGUUAAUCGGAAUUACUGGGCGUAAAGCGUGCGCAGGCGGUUUUGUAAGACAGGCGUGAAAUCCCCGGGCUCAACCUGGGAAUUGCGCUUGUGACUGCAAGGCUGGAGUGCGGCAGAGGGGGAUGGAAUUCCGCGUGUAGCAGUGAAAUGCGUAGAUAUGCGGAGGAACACCGAUGGCGAAGGCAAUCCCCUGGGCCUGCACUGACGCUCAUGCACGAAAGCGUGGGGAGCAAACAGGAUUAGAUACCCGAGUAGUCC